UACGAACUGUGCAAACGUUAUUCGGAAUCACUGGGCUUAAAGGGUGCGUAGGCGGCUUGUUAAGUAGGGUGUGAAAUCCCCCGGCUCAACCGGGGAAUUGCGCCCUAAACUGGCGAGCUGGAGUGAGAUAGGGGUGUGUGGAACUUCCAGUGGAGCGGUGAAAUGUGUUGAUAUUGGAAGGAACGCCAGUGGCGAAAGCGACACACUGGGUCUCAACUGACGCUGAGGCACGAAAGCCAGGGGAGUAAACGGG
rnacentral:rRNA from 1 species